UAUAGAUUGUGUAUUGUUAAAUGAUUUAUAAGUUCUUAUAUAAUAACUUGGGGUAAAAUAAAACUUUUUUGGACAUGGUGAUAUAUGACGUGCCUUGAAUACUUGAAUGAUCAUCUUAAUUCACCUUGAUAAAGUGUCUUGAUUGAAUUGUGAUUGGUUAUUGGCAUUGUAAUUUCAUCCUUUCAUCAUGCAUAUGAACAUGCUCAUCUACAUUGGUUCUGUGACAUUUUUGGGAUGAGUACUAUAUGGACUGACGAGAAAGAGAUACAAAAAGGAUGUACCAUUGUGGAGGGAUGUGCCACACACCGUGGUUGAUACUAUUUUGGAGGAACACGUCAUACGCCGUGGUGGAUACGAUAUUCAAUGGACGUGCCACAUGCCGUGGUAGUUACAUGGAAUGAUAAGUCCCAUGGAUCUCGAACUGUGAUUCAACAGAUAAACACUGACAGCAAACAAUUGUGAUCACCAAAUGUUUCUUAUUAGCAAAAAAUGGACAGCAACCAGCCACGAUGUUUUAAUCGCGUUAGAAGAGUUUCCGAGGCAAGUUUCGGCUAGUUUUGGCCAAUUUCGGGAAAGGUUUCGAGGGCAAUGACGUGAACACAAUUAAGGGGAGUCUAUAAGAGGUACAGAUAUACAGCUUGGGGAUCCAUCAGUAUAGGAGUCCCACUCAGCGGUCUAGAAGUGUUCCUUUGUGCAGGAGCCUAGUUUUGGUACCUAACUUUGAUGUAUAUACUUUUGUUCUCGGGUACGGCAGGGGCCCUGUCCCACCUUAUGUUACUUUUCUUCUUACUCUUAGAGGUCUGUGGAUACGGAUGUGGGUUGUAUG